CCUACGGGAGGCUGCAGUGAGGAAUAUUGGUCAAUGGGCGCGAGCCUGAACCAGCCAAGUAGCGUGAAGGAUGACUGCCCUACGGGUUGUAAACUUCUUUUAUAAAGGAAUAAAGUGAGGCACGUGUGCCUUUUUGCAUGUACUUUAUGAAUAAGGAUCGGCUAACUCCGUGCCAGCAGCCGCGGUAAUACGGAGGAUCCGAGCGUUAUCCGGAUUUAUUGGGUUUAAAGGGAGCGUAGGUGGAUUGUUAAGUCAGUGGUGAAAGUUUGCGGCUCAACCGUAAAAUUGCAGUUGAAACUGGCGGUCUUGAGUACAGUAGAGGUAGGCGGAAUGCGUGGUGUAGCGGUGAAAUGCUUAGAUAUCACGAAGAACUCCGAUUGCGAAGGCAGCUCGCUGGACUGCAACUGACGCUGAUGCUCGAAAGUGUGGGGAUCAAACAGGAUUAGAUACCCCAGUAGUC
rnacentral:rRNA from 1 species